rnacentral:tRNA from 2 species
CGCGGGGUGGAGCAGUCCGGUAGCUCGUCAGGCUCAUAACCUGAAGGUCGUAGGUUCAAAUCCUACCCCCGCUACCA